rnacentral:rRNA from 1 species
CAGUAGCCGCGGUAAUACGAAGGGGGCUAGCGUUGUUCGGAUUUACUGGGCGUAAAGCGCACGUAGGCGGACUUUUAAGUCAGGGGUGAAAUCCCGGGGCUCAACCCCGGAACUGCCUUUGAUACUGGAAGUCUUGAGUAUGGUAGGGGUGAGUGGAAUUCCGAGUGUAGAGGUGAAAUUCGUAGAUAUUCGGAGGAACACCAAUGGCGAAGGCGGCUCACUGGACCAUUACUGACGCUGAGGUGCGAAAGCGUGGGGAGCAAACAGGAUUAGAUACCCCCGUAGUCCCUGUCUCUUAUAC